rnacentral:sRNA from 1 species
UUCACUUUACUUUUCGGGCUUGUACAGUUAAAAUCUCUAAAUUUUUUUGUUGUGUAAUUGAGUGUAAAGUUUUUGGGAAUAUUGAGUAUUUCCAUCAGAAUUCGAAUAGUGUCUAUUUCCGUGAAGACUUCACACACUAUCCACACAUUUCCCAGUCGCUUUCCACAUCAUUAGUUCCUCCACAACUAUCAAAGAUGUGCUUUAAGCUUUAUCCGUGCUGCGGCGGCGGCGCAUCGCCAUGCUGCUACCCGCCGCGCUUAUGCUGUGGCGGUUGCGGACCCUGCUGUGGUGCCGGACCCUGCUGUGGAUGGUGUGGACCCUGCUGCGGUGGUUGUGGACCCUGCUGUUAAGAAAAAAAGUCUUCAGAACGAAUCUAGAUACACUGUUCACAUACACGUGCUGUAAAUUAGUUCCCUAAUUCCAAUAAAUAAGAGCUCCAAUACAUAA